rnacentral:rRNA from 1 species
CCUACGGGUGGCAGCAGUGAGGAAUAUUGGUCAAUGGGCGCGAGCCUGAACCAGCCAAGUAGCGUGAAGGAUGACGGCCCUACGGGUUGUAAACUUCUUUUAUAAAGGAAUAAAGUGAGGCACGUGUGCAUUUUUGUAUGUACGCUAUGAAUAAGGAUCGGCUAACUCCGUGCCAGCAGCCGCGGUAAUACGGAGGAUCCGAGCGUUAUCCGGAUUUAGUGGGUUUAAAGGGAGCGUAGAUGGGUUGUUAAGUCAGUGGUGAAAGUUUGCGGCUCAACCGUAAAAUUGCAUUUGAUACGGGCAGUCUUGAGUUCAGUUGCGGUAGGCGGAAUUCGUGGUGUAGCGGUGAAAUGCUUAGAUAUCACG